rnacentral:lncRNA from 1 species
UAAUGUUGAUUGUUUUUCCUAGAACGUGGGUCUCUUCCUGCAAGUCCAUUAUGUGGAUCGUACCUGUUCUUACCUGACCUUUUGUCGGCUUCAGACCUUCGGGACCCGCUUCUAUCUUCUCGUUGAGGUUGAAAUACGGUAUCCUCUUCAAUUCUGAGCUUCGUACUGUACCUGUUAUAAACAUAAUUCCAAGUAGUUGCGGAAAAUUCACG